CAUCAAUUUUGUCACCAAGGAAGAUGAGAGGAUGCUGCAGGACAUCCAGCGCUUCUACAACACCGUCAUCGAAGAGCUUCCAUCCAACGUCGCUGAUCUUCUCUAAGUUGUGAUUGUUGAUG